rnacentral:rRNA from 1 species
CGUGUAGGCGGCUUGACAAGUCAGAUGUGAAAUCCCUGGGCUUAACCUAGGAAGUGCAUUUGAAACUGUCAGGCUUGAGUAAGGGAGAGGAAAGUGGAAUUCCUGGUGUAGAGGUGAAAUUCGUAGAUAUCAGGAGGAACACCGGUGGCGAAGGCGACUUUCUGGCCCUAUACUGACGCUGAGACGCGAAAGCGUGGGUAGCAAACAG